rnacentral:rRNA from 1 species
GACGAACGCUGGCGGCGCGCUUAACACAUGCAAGUCGAACGGAAAGGCCUGCUUUCCCUUGUGGAUUGCGGGUACUCGAGUGGCGAACGGGUGAGUAACACGUGAGUGAUCAGCCCCCAACUUGGGUAUAAGCCUGGGAAACUGGGUCUAAUUCCCGAUAGGACUGCAGGGUGGUGCCUGUGGUGGAAAACGAUUUUCUAGUGGUUGGGGAUGAGCUCGCGGCCUAUCAGCUUGUUGGUGGGGUAAUGGCCUACCAAGGCGGCGACGGGUAGCCGGCCUGAGAGGGUGGACGGCCACAUUGGGACUGAGAUACGGCCCAGACUCCUACGGGAGGCAGCAGUGGGGAAUAGUGCACAAUGGGCGGAAGCCUGAUGCAGCGACGCCGCGUGGGGGAUGACGGCCUUCGGGUUGUAAACUCCUUUCGACCGCGAGGAAGCCACCUGGUUGGAAGGGUGGUGACGGUAGUGGUAGAAGAAGCACCGGCUAACUACGUG